GUCCACGCCCUAAACGAUGUCAACUGGUUGUCGGGGAAGCAAUUCCUUGGUAACGAAGCUAACGCGUGAAGUUGACCGCCUGGGGGAGUACGGCCGCAAGGUUAAAACUCAAAGGAAUUGACGGGGACCCGCACAAGCGGUGGAUUAUGUGGAUUAAUUCGAUGCAACGCGAAAAACCUUACCUACCCUUGACAUGUACGGAAGCUCGCAGAGAUGCGAGGGUGCCCGAAAAGGGAGCCGUAACACAGGUGCUGCAUGGCUGUCGU
rnacentral:rRNA from 1 species